ACAAACACAUGUUAGCAAUGCCUCUGUACACCACCACAGUGAAUUUCAAAUCUAAUAUAUGACUGAAGUGCAGACGUUUGAUUUAAAUUGAGUGGAUUCAAUAAAGUAUUCUGUUAACUAUAAGUAUUAAUAAUUAUUCUAUCAACUGCCUAUUAACUUACAGCCAUUUUUAUACAUAGUGAUGCUAUUUAUAAUCACUGAUGGAUGGUUUAAUGUUGCUACAAGUGUAAUUUUUCUCUUUGCAAUUAUUUUCUUACAGUUAUGGAUAAAGUUAAGAAAUUUGAGCAACUAGCAGACUUGGACAAAAAAAGAGAAAAAAAGUAGUGUCUGCUCCUGAAAAUGGGCCUCUCCAUUUGCUGCAGAGCCGCUUUCAACUUUGACCCCAGCCAAGGAGGGCAUCUAACAAUGAUGCUGGGGAACAUGUGGAUGACUCCAACU